rnacentral:rRNA from 1 species
AGUACGAGAGGACCGGAAUGGACGAACCACUGGUGUUCCAGUUGUCGCGCCAGCGGCAUGGCUGGGUAGCUACGUUCGGAAGGGAUAACCGCUGAAAGCAUCUAAGCGGGAAGCCCACUUCAAGAUAAGAUAUCCCGUGGAGUAAUCCACCUGAAGGCUCGUUGAAGACUACAACGUUGAUAGGCCAGGUGUGGAAGGGCAGUAAUGUCCGGAGCUUACUGGUACUAAUAAGCCGUGCGGCUUGACCAU